rnacentral:misc_RNA from 1 species
ACCAAUAUGUCCCUUCCUCAAAAAUAGUUAACCAUUCAAAGCCUCAAACGGGCCUUAUCUUCUCCGCAAUCAUGGCUUCCCUAACCUCUACCGCUUUGUCCAAGAUCUCACCGUCUUCUCCAGAAAUUCUGCCCAAUACCCGUCGGUUUCCACAGCCCAUAACUCUACAACAAAUCAGACCAGUCUCUCGAAAAGUGGUCUUGUCUAAAACGGCUAUAAAAGCGACGAGUCCAAGUGCAGCCACUGGUUCCCAAUCUCCAGGACUUUACUCUGCGCAGAAAUUUGAGCUUACUGCUCAAAACGUGGACUUGGUUCUCGAGGAUGUUCGGCCUUACUUGAUUGCUGAUGGUGGAAACGUCGACGUUGUUUCCGUCGAAGACGGUAUUAUCUCUCUCAAACUCCAGGGAGCAUGUGGUAGCUGUCCUAGCUCAACAACCACCAUGAAAAUGGGGAUUGAAAGAGUACUGAAGGAAAAAUUUGGAGAUGCAGUUAAAGACAUUUGCCAAGUAUAUGAUGAAGAAGCAAGGGAAACAACUGCUGAGGCAGUGAAUGGUCAUCUCGAUAUACUGAGACCAGCAAUCAAAAACUUUGGUGGAAGUGUGGAAGUACUGUCUGUUGAGGGUGGGGAAUGCCAUGUGAAGUAUUCAGGACCCGAGUCCAUUGGGUCAGGAAUCAAAGCAGCAAUUAAGGAGAAGUUCCCAGAUAUCAUUAAUGUUGUGUUUGUUGGCUAGGUUAGGAUUUAUAUGUGACUCAUUUAAGUUAAUAUACAAAUGUACAAACUCGAGAUCAAAUUUUCAUUUAUGCUCUGGCUCAGAUACUUGUGUGUUUUCUCUUUUUCCCCCCCAAUAUUUGAUGUUAUGUAUUUAUCAUUUAGCUCCGAACAAGAGCAUAUCAAACCCAGAGCCACUGUGCUGGAACAUGAGUGUAUACUUGUUCAUGUAUUCACACGUAUAGCUUUGCUUUUUCACAAUGCUCUGUUGAUUUAGUUCAAAUUUGUGCCUUCGCUAUGAAAAACACAACUAUCAUAGCUAUUGCUUUCAUAAUCUAUAUUGUGGUCAUUCACAAACCUCUCACUUUGAGAAUAAGGUGCCCACUAUUUUAUCCUCUGCAAGCAAGAUGUAUGACAUUUCUCAAAGUUACAGAUAAGGGAUUAGUAUAAAUUCAAAGUGGUUUGAAAUUCUUCAUAUUUGUUCAAGAAUCAGACAUUCAGUACAUUAGAGAGUACAGGCUCUCUUUACUCCGAAGAGGGUUGUCCCGCUUAAUUCUCUCUCCUGAACCUGAGAGUUCUAAUUCUCUCUCCUGAAGCUGAAAGAGUCGCAAUUCCAAACAUAUUUCCUAGGCAGACUUGUCAGCAGCUUCUAUAGCUGAUCUCAGCCAGCGUGCUAAACUGAUCAGGAAUGGAGUAUAAACGAAGUAGCAAGUGAUCGUCCAAGUGACUAACCCCUGACCAAGGAUCUCAAUGUUCGCUUGUGGAUAAUACCAAAGGUGAAAGAACCUGAAAAGGUUCCCAAACAGAACAGGUCAAUAGACACCUAUAUCUUUUCCAGUUUUAUGUUGACGAUUUUCUUAGGAAAGAACUUAAAAAAGGCUUCCAUACUUCAUAAUGGGAAUUUCAGCCAAUGGACAGCCAAGGCCUACAAUGGAUGCCAGUGUGAAGCCAAGCCACGUUCUGUCCAGGGACAACCAUAUGAUUUCUGCUGCUGCAAAUAAGACGUAGGCCUCAAUAUUGUCUGCUAUUCCAGCUUUAUACAUUUCGGCGCUCAAUUCUAUGAAUAACACAAGUGCUAGUAAAGUAAAAGAUACCUUCUGCAGACUUCCUUCUGGAACCUUUGAAGAAGCUCUUUCAUCCAAGAAGAGUUGUAGCAACCCAACAGUGCAAUAAAAUAACCCAAGUAAGGGAGGAACCCAAAUGUUUGAGUGGAGAGGACCGAUGUUGAUAGACCCAUUUUGAUAGACCACAAGAUUGACCCUUGAAUGAAGUCCGUCGAUGAGGGGACCUAAAAAGAACCCAGAACAGAGAAGCGAGAGACCAACGGAUGGCCAAGUGUUUCUUAGAGUUGAUCUGGUUUGGUCUCUCAAGCUGCAAAGAGGUGUAGACACAAAACGUUUUGGAUACGAACAAGAAUUAUGGCAUUUGUGAAGAAAGCAGGGAGAGCCCCUGAAACCGAAAGCAAGGAGUCCCUGCAUCUUUUCUUCUCCAGAUUCACAUCUUCCCUUACUCCAAUGUUUUCU